GCGUUAUCCGGAUUCACUGGGUUUAAAGGGUGCGUAUGUGGGUAUGUAAGUCAGUGGUGAAAUCUCUGAGCUUAACUCAGAAACUGCCAUUGAUACUAUGUUUCUUGAAUUUUCUGGAGGUCAGCGGAAUAUGUCAUGUAGUGGUGAAAUGCUUAGAUAUGACAUAGAGCACCAAUUGCGAAGGCAGCUGGCUACAGGGAUAUUGACACUGAGGCACGAAAGCGUG
rnacentral:rRNA from 1 species